GAAGAAUUUGCCAGUCAUGACAGAGCCAUCUGCCCAUUUGUCAAAAAUGAUGCGAUCCAUUCUUUAUUCCCCUCUUCCUAUUCUCUCCCAAGGAAGGAGCUGCGUUUUGCUAUACAGCACAUGGAGGCAUGGAAUAUCUUAUCUAAUUUAUAUAGAAGGACUAAGCUAUGCCCUGGUUACUCACUCUUGUCCGCUGAUGGGGAAAUCUGAAGUGUUCUGUAGUUGGAUGCUCCAAAGGUAAUUCUUUUCGGCAUAUUUUCUAUCACCUUUUCUUGAUGUUUAUCAAGAAACUUGGAUUCUAUGUGUAGGUAGAUGUUCCUGUAACUGUUUGUACUAUGAGAAUGAAAUAAAAUAUAUAACUUGAUUGAAGCCAUUAGUAAGCUACAUCAUUAUACAGGGUGGUUUGGUAAAAAGCGAUUUAUUUGUUUUUAUUUAUUAAAAGAAUACACAGACUACUCCCAAUUAUUUGAAAUGAUAAGUUACCAAAUUUACUUUACACUAAUACUCUCCUGUCAGCAAAGCUACAUGGUUAGAUGGGAUAGUACCAUGAGAUUAUUUUUCAUUUUUGUAAGUUGGUACAAUCUCUGCUUGUCUGGAUUUCUUUAUAAUGAAUAAGGUUCACCAAAUUAGCAUGAUAAUAGGAUUUAGUUCAUCUCUCAUGCAAAGCUGCAACACUUCAGUGUAUAUAGGAUCUGAAUGCAUGAAGUAUUCAUGAAGAGAAAACUAUUGUUGCCAGCUCAUUCUCUGUACUACCACUGAUUAAGCAGUUCUAUAUGAUAGGUAUGGCUUGAUUUUUUGGUUGCUUUGUGUGUCUCCCCUUUUACAGAGAUAUAUGUGCUCUUGAAUUUAUAGUACCCGUGUGAGUUCAGUCCUUCAGUUAAUAGCUAAAAAAAUUGUGCGCUGAUGAGCUACUCUGGUUUUCUUCUUGCUUUGUAUGUCUCCCUUUUACAGACUGUUCUUGAAUUUGUAGUACUCGUGUAACUUUAGUCCUUCAAUCAAUAGCUAAGUUUUUUGUGUGCUCAUGUGAUACUCAAGGUGAUAUAAGAUUCUUCUUGCAAUUGUGUCUUUAGCUUUUUGUUGUUACUUUCGUGAUGAUUUUAAAUUGCUCUGCAAGUGCUAUUUAUUUUGACAUGUUACAGUAGAUUGUGUAGCAAUGUCUUUUUGUGCCUGUACAGAAAUAAUGCCACCAUCUUCUAUGGAAUCCUUUAUGUGUUCAAUGUUGUUCUGGCAUCAGCAAAUUAUUCAUUUAAGAAUUUUGCGUUUCUUUGUAAAAAAUACAAUGGUGGAGCAAGAUACUGGCAACGAUCACUGAUGUGUAUUUCUUUGUCAAAAAUGCAAGAGGCGGAGUUGCUGGUGCUGCUUAGGGAGAAGCAGGCCUAAGAAGAAGACAGCAUGAUCCAUAUAGAUAUAAGCGACGAAAUGACGAAUGCUGAAAAGAGUAUCUUGGCAGGAACCAGGUGAGGCUGAAGCACAGUGCGCAUCACUUUGUGAGAACCAUAAGGUGACAUUGUAAGAAUUAUUAUCCCUUCUACCCAAGUAGUAAGACUGGACUACAUUUUAGUGUGAGUGAUAGGAGUAUGUUGUUAUAUGGACUCACUGCAUUUUGGCGCUCAAAGAUUUCAUCGCCGCGAAAUUGAUCUUAGUUUAGAAAAAAAUCAUGUAACAGAGUUUGAAGUGCCAAAGGUAAAUUCUUCUGCUUUUUAUCUAGAACUUUUUUCCUUUUGAGCAUCAUGGUAAUUCCUAUGACCUCUGAUCAUUCUGAAGCUAUUGUUAAAGAUCAUGCUCACAAGUGGAAUGAUGACAUGAGAGAUUAUUUAACACAUGUUUUUUAGGUACGCGAAGAACUACCAGAAUAAAAAUCCAUGAGAGAUCAACAAUGUCCAUUGUAAGUGACAUCAGUUCUGGAAUCUGCAUGUUCUGAAACUCAGUUAAAUGAAUCUAAAAAGGCAUCGGCAUGUUCUAGCGAAGAAUUGAACUUAGAAGGGAUCAUAUCAAUGGUGAAAAUAUUGGCACAAAAGAACAUUCAACGGCCCAAUAUAUGUAUUUAUUUGUGAACAAAGGGGGUGCCAAAGAUGUAGUAUCAACAACUAACAGUCAAUGCAAGAGAUGGGACAAAAUGAGGGAGCUUCUGACUGAAUGGACACCCUACAUGGCUACGCUCUUCCAAACAGAAUUGUUUCUUUUUCCAUGGACUUAAGAUAUCUCAAUCACAUAUUUUAUUGACUUUAAGAGGUACAUACGAAAUUGAAGAGGAAAACGACUUCCAAUGGCCCAACGAUUGCUGCGCGAAGAACGAGGCUCUUGUUUCUAGGUGCCGCCAGCAGCUCCACAAGGAGCUUUCUGGCUACAGGAUGUAGCUUGAUGGCGGCAACCUCUCAAGCAAAGAUAUGAUUGUCUGCUUGUUGGAGGAGAGCACUCUUGGACUAGCAAGGUUGGUGGAUCAGACAUUUGAGAAGUUGGAGGAAUCGAGGGUAUCUCGGUGGCUUCUGUUCGUAGUUGGGCAGAGCUAGCCCAGAUGCUGAUCUAUCAGAAGAUGAAUCAAAACCGUCUCUAAUUGGUGCUUGGAGCAUUAUUGGUUUAUCAUCAUCAUGGCUAGGAUUAGCCCUUCACAGCCAUAGGUGAUUCAACUGAGACCAUAUCUGUUUUCAUAAUGGAGUCACUGCCUUUGUACUGUAUUGUUGUUCUAGGGAUAGAGGAAACCGAGUGUAGUAUCUCUGCUUCAUGCUAUACCAUUAUCAUGUUAUCAUCCAGCUGUACAUAUCUUGAUCAAUAAUAAAUGCACAAUUGUUGAAGUGAUUUUCACUGCA